rnacentral:pre_miRNA from 14 species
CAUUCGGGGUUCCGGGGGGUCAUGCUCCGAUCCCGGGCAAGCCCCCAAAUGAAAGAGCGUACCCCUAAACGGGGAGCUGCGUCUCUCGCUCCGAUCACGGGGUGAGGUGCCCCCAGGAAUCACGAGUAGCCGG